CUGGUUGAUCCUGCCAGUAGUCAUAUGCUUGUCUCAAAGAUUAAGCCAUGCAUGUCUAAGUAUAAGCAAUCUAUACAGUGAAACUGCGAAUGGGCUCAUUAAAUCAGUUAUCGUUUAUUUGAUGAUACUUUACUACUUGGAUAACCGUGGUAAUUCUAGAGCUAAUACAUGCAUAAAAGUCCCGACCUCUGGAAGGGAUGUAUUUAUUAGAUAAAAAACCAAUGCCUUCGGGCUCUUUGGUGAUUCAUAGUAACUUAACGAAUCGCAUAGCCUUGUGCUGGCGAUGGUUCAUUCAAAUUUCUGCCCUAUCAACUUUCGAUGGUAGGAUAUAGGCCUACCAUGGUUUCAACGGGUAACGGGGAAUUAGGGUUCUAUUCCGGAGAGGGAGCCUGAGAAACGGCUACCACAUCCAAGGAAGGCAGCAGGCGCGCAAAUUACCCAAUCCCGACACGGGGAGGUAGUGACAAUAAAUACUGAUASAGGUGGUUUUAUGGGUCUUGUAAAUUGGAAUGAGUACAAUUUUAAAUCUCUUUAACGAGGAACAAUUGGAGGGCAAGUCUGGUGCCAGCAGCCGCGGUAAUUC
rnacentral:rRNA from 1 species